AGGAUGAACGCUGGCGGCGUGCCUAAGACAUGCAAGUCGAGUGGGUUUAGACCCACGGCGAACGGGUGAGUAAUACCUAGGAACUUUUCUCAAGUUGAGGAUAUCCUCCCGAAAGGGAGUGCAAUACUCAAUGUGGCAGCAAUGCUAAAGUCGCAAGACGCUUGAGGUGAGGCCUGGGCACCAUCAGCUAGUUGGUAAGGUAAUGGCUUACCAAGGCUUUGACGGUUAGCGGAUCUGAGAGGAUGACCCGCCACACUGGGACUGCGACACGGCCCAGACUCCUACGGGAGGCAGCAGUUUGGAAUUUUGGUCAAUGGGGGAAACCCUGAACCAGCGACGCCGCGUGGACGAAGAGGUUUCGGAUUGUAAGUCUUUAGCAGGGAACAAUUUGAGCGUACUGCAGAAUAAGAGGUUGCUAACUCUGCGCAGCAGCCGC
rnacentral:rRNA from 1 species